rnacentral:rRNA from 1 species
CUUGCCUCUCCUCUAGCCCAAUCAUUUACCACCUACAACCUUUAAAAACCCACUACCACACCUAAGUAAAACAUUCUAACCUUCCUAGUAUAGGCGAUAGAAAAGAUCUUUGGCGCAAUAGAGAAUGACCGUACCGUAAGGGAAAGAUGAAAUAACUAAUGAAAACUACAAGCAAAAAACAGUAAAGAUCAACCCUUGUACCUCUUGCAUCAUGAUUUAGCAAGAACAACCAAGCAAAGCGAACUAAAAGUUUGCCUCCCCGAAACCCAGGCGAGCUACCUGUAAGCAGCUAAAAUAGAGCGAACCCGUCCCUGUCGCAAAAGAGUGGGAUGACUUACUGGUAGAGGUGAAAAGCCAACCGAGCUGGGUGAUAGCUGGUUACCUGUUAAACGAAUUUAAGUUCCUCCUUAACUCAUCCCCUAAGGACCUCACCUAACCUCACCCAUGUAGGAGUUAAGAACAAUUCGAUGGGGGUACAGCCCCCUCGAAAAAGAAUACAACCUCCCCCAGCGGAUAAUCUAUCCCCUCCCCCUAUCGUAGGCCUUAAAGCAGCCAUCAACAAAAGAGUGCGUCAAAGCUCCUCUGUAAAAAAUCCACACUCCUAUUUGAUUCCCUCAUCUUAAACAGGUUAGCCUAUGAUAAUAGAAGAAUUAAUGCUAAAAUGAGUAACUUGGAGCCAUCCUCAUCGGCGUAAACUUACAUCAACACAUUAUUAACAGAGCAACUUAUACCCCCACUUUAACAAGAAUACGUAUUUAACUUAAUCUGUUAAGCCAACCCAGGAACGCCCACAUUAAAUGAUUGAAACCCGCAAAAGGAACUCGGCAAACCAAAGACCCGACUGUUUACCAAAAACAUAGCCUUCAGCCAAACACAAGUAUGAAGGUGAUGCCUGCCCAGUGACCCCCAAAGUUUAACGGCCGCGGUAUCCUAACCGUGCGAAGGUAGCGCAAUCAAUUGUCCCAUAAAUUGAGACUUGUAUGAAAGGCUAAACGAGGUCUUAACUGUCUCUUGCAGGCAAUCAGUGAAAUUAGUAUUCCCGUGCAAAAACGAGAAUGUGACCAUAAGACGAGAAGACCCUGUGGAACUUUAAAAUUGCGAUCACCCUUACAUCCAACACCGUCUACCAGACUCACCCACAUUCUACUCUUGAUCGACAUUUUUCGGUUGGGGCGACCUUGGAGAAAAACAAAUCCUCCAAACCCAUAGACCAUCACUCUUCACCAAGAUAUCACCCAUCAAAGUACAAACAGUAACCCAGACCCAAUACAAUUGAUCAAUGGACCAAGCUACCCCAGGGAUAACAGCGCAAUCUCCUCCAAGAGCCCAUAUCGACAAGGAGGUUUACGACCUCGAUGUUGGAUCAGGACAACCUAAUGGUGCAGCCGCUAUUAAGGGUUCGUUUGUUCAACGAUUAAUAGUCCUACGUGAUCUGAGUUCAGACCGGAGUAAUCCAGGUCGGUUUCUAUCUAUGAAUAAACUCUUCCCAGUACGAAAGGACCGGAAAAGUGGGGUCAAUGCUAUAAGAUACACCCCAGCCUUACAGACAAUGAAUGCAACUCAAUUGCUAAAAAGCUUUCCCCCACAUAUAAUUCCUAGAAAAGGAACAG